AGCAGUGUGGUGCAGUUGUUUGAGUGUUUGACUAAGACUCUGGAGACCAGGGUUCGAAUCCUUGCUUGGCCA